UCCAAACGCUGGAACAUCGACAUUUACACACCCAGUACUCAGCAGUGACAACCUCCAGACAGUUUUAAAGCGUUCACCUCAACACUUUCUCCUCGGCCGAUAAGCCUGCGGCACAUCUUCAGGAAAAACCGGUACAGGUGGUCACAUGAGGGUGUGUCGAGUUCGUGCUUAUUAGACUCAAACAGGUUGGAUAUGCGUGUAAAAACUUAUUCCGACGGAAGGAAACUCGAGUAGCUACUGAAACUCGAAUCUUCAAAGACUAUCGAACUCAAGUCCUACUUAACGUUAGCUUCACCCAAAAAUUGAUAUACAUUUCCCCCGCGAAACUUUGUGUUUGCUUGCAAAACGUUUCGUAUUCUUCCACAAAGUUUCUUUGGGGAACGGAACAAUUUUUCAUUUAUUUUUCUUCCCACUUUUUCCCCAUCACCAUGUGCUCCAAACCCCUCACUUUAUGAAUGUUUUGGGUGAUUAGACUUUCAGUGGAAGGUCGGAAAUCUCUCAGAUUUCAUUAAAAAUAUCUUCAUUUGUUUCUGAAGAUGAAAGAAAGUCCUUCACAUGAGGAUGAGGCCUACUUUAUGACAGAAUUUUCAUUAUCCAGAAAAGUGUCAAAUAUGUGGCGCGUUAGAGUCGACAAGUAGGCCUAGCCUAUGUGAUGAAGUGCAAGUAUACUGAGAAGUUGAACGGCUCCCUUUAAAAAUAAAAGCCCUCAAAUAUGCUCCACAUUGAAAAGUGUUGAGUGUAUGAUAUAAAAAGAGAGAAAGCCACAGACAUUCCCAUAGUACUGUGUCGUUGGGCCUCAGGCUGUCUUUCCUGGAAUGACAUCUGACAGGUUUGAGAGCGGCAGUCCUAGGGCGCACACUGGGAGUUUUGACAUUUAUGUACCUAUAACCGAUGUUUGGGCAUAUAGCCGGUUACAUGAAUAUCUUAAGUAACUUUCAAAAAUAAGUCACUAAGGAACAGUAUUAUGAUAAAUGCUUGAUAGUUUGGUCUAAUCUAAUGAUCUGAUGUACAAUCUAGAUUAUUUUAGAAAAAAAAAAUAACUUGAAUGCUAACUUGUCCAUUGUCCACAGACUUGUGGAGAUGUGUGCUAUUACUGUUUAACUGAAUGAAA